rnacentral:lncRNA from 1 species
UGAAAAAUAACAGAACAUAUCUGCCAGCUCCUUACAUAACUUCGGGUUAUGCGUUGGUGUCGAGAGAUUCUCUAAUAGAAACCUAUAUAAACAUAGGCAAGUUGGCGCUAUAUUUGGUGAGGGAUAUACAAGCACCCAGUAAUCAAUACAAUAGUAUAUGGGAGGCCGCCAGUGUAGAGGUCGUCGUGCCCGGUUGGUCGAGUGAUGGAUGGAAGUGCAAGAGGGUGGCUGUUGGGUCAUGCAUGGAGGGGACUGUGGCGCAUUGCAGCACAGAGAACCUCCUAAGUGUGGAAGUGGGAAGAGUGGAGGGGGGGGCAUGGAGGCGUGGAUACUCGGGAGGAGCGGUGGAUGGGACACUGGAGGAAAUGGGAUGGAGGAAACGAACAGCAAAUGGGAGGGGCCGAGAGGGAGAG